rnacentral:rRNA from 1 species
GCAACCGAGUUGUAAUUUGGAGACGGGACACUAGAGAGGAGGAAGGCGAUUAAGUGCCUUGGAACAGGCUGCCGUAGAGGGUGAGAGCCCCGUGAAUCCUGGAGACCGAUCAAUUAGUGCCCGCCGAAGAGUCGAGUUGUUUGGGAAUGCAGCUCUAAGCGGGUGGUAUAUUCCAUCUAAGGCUAAAUAUUAGCGAGAGACCGAUAGCAAACAAGUACAGUGAUGGAAAGAUGAAAAGAACUUUGGAAAGAGAGUGAAAUAGUACGUGAAAUUGUUGAAAGGGAAGGGUAUUUGAUCCGACAUGGUGUUUAGCAGCGGCCCGUUCCUCGUGGAUGGGUGCACCUGGUUUACACUGGGCCAGCAUCGGUUCUGGGAGCCAUAUACGGGGUUCGUGAAUGUGGCCCUUCGAUUCUGUCGGAGGGUGUUAUAGCGCGGA